rnacentral:sRNA from 1 species
CUGUUUGAAUUUGCUGAGGACAAAUAAAAUGGAUAUGUGCAUCAAUACCACCUGCUGUAACAAUCAUACCUUCUCCAGCAAUAACUUCAGUUGAUGCCCCAAUUACUAUAUCAACUUGAUCCAUUAAUAAUGGAUUUCCAGCCUUACCAAUCGCAGCAAUGACACCGUCCUUUACACCGAUAUCCGCUUUAUAUAUACCUGUAUAAUCAACAAUUAACGCAUUUGUCACAACAAGAUCGACAGUCUCACUUCUCGUCGCUAAUGGAUGCUGCCCCAUGCCGUCACGA